AUUGAACGCUGGCGGCAUGCUUUACACAUGCAAGUCGAACGGUAACAGGCCGCAAGGUGCUGACGAGUGGCGAACGGGUGAGUAAUGCAUCGGAACGUGCCCAGUCGUGGGGGAUAACUACUCGAAAGAGUAGCUAAUACCGCAUACGAUCUAUGGAUGAAAGCGGGGGACCGUAAGGCCUCGCGCGAUUGGAGCGGCCGAUGUCAGAUUAGGUAGUUGGUGGGGUAAAGGCUCACCAAGCCAACGAUCUGUAGCUGGUCUGAGAGGACAACCAGCCACACUGGGACUGAGACACGGCCCAGACUCCUACGGGAGGCAGCAGUGGGGAAUUUUGGACAAUGGGCGCAAGCCUGAUCCAGCAAUGCCGCGCGCAGGAAGAAGGCCUUCGGGUUGUAAACUGCUUUUGUACGGAACGAAACGGCUCUGGUUAAUACCCGGGGCUAAUGACGGUACCGUAAGAAUAAGCACCGGCUAACUACGUG
rnacentral:rRNA from 1 species